rnacentral:lncRNA from 1 species
GCUUGGGCUCUCUGCAGAAGGUCAUUUGCAGACUGUCUGCAAUUGGUGUUCUUUCUGCUUUCACUCAUCCAGGAUUCCUACAGGGCAUGCGCUGGCUCAUCCUUGAGUCCUGUCAUGGACAGCCACUAUCUGGAGAGUAUGAGGGAGAGAGCUGGAGCAGCUGUCAAGGAGGGUGCAGGAGCUCCCUUGGUGUGCCUUGGCCAGGAGAGGACUGUCUGGAGGUUCAGAAGACAAGGGUCAUGCUGAUCAUCACUUUGAUACCCCGGGAAGACCGUAAGACUCCUGAGAAGGAAAGAAGCAGUGGGAACCACAAGCACCCAGGGUACCCCAAUCCUGUCACAUGCCUCACGAUUCCAUAACCAGUACUUCUGUCCCAUCGCCCCCAAGCAGUUCAGCUCCACCAUCCACUUCCACUUGCCCCAUGGAGCAGGGGAGGUGGAGGCUGAUCUCCUCUGCUGGGUGGAGACAAGCCCUUAGCUCAGGGCCCAUGUGGGAGGUUAGAUGAGUGUUAUGGCUUGUGUCUAGAGGUCUUCCCAAAGCCCCUCAUGGGAUUUUUUGGAGCUGCCUGAAUCUAGGAUGUGUGAAUAUGGAUUUGUAGGAGAAGAUGCCCCACUUCUGCCAGUAUACUUCAGUCUGUUAGUUGCCCAGUCUGUUACCUUCCCAGGUAAUAGUUCCAGUUCGAGUUCCUGUUACCUUUGUUUCUUAGCAACCGUGGUCACUAUAAUGCUUAGCUGGUCACUGUGACGCAUAUUGUAAGUACCAAUCUCCAAUUUCAAGCCAUUCUGCCUCUGUACUUCCUGCUUGCUUAUCUAAUAUCAGCCUUAGACCACCAGAGAUCAAGGCCUGAUAUCUUGGGAAUGAUUCUGAUCAGUGCCCGUUGACAUAUGUAAAUCUGUCUCUAAAUCCUGGGUAUUGUAUACCUGUUUCUGCUUGCUGUAGCAGAUUAGGGUGGAUGAUAACUAAAUUAGUCCCUGACUGGUUUAGUAUGGUUCUGGGUGUGGAUAAUGGGAAGCCCCACCCUGGGUGUGUGUGGCUCUGCCUAAUAGGUUUGUAUCCUGGAUGAGAUAAAAGGGAAAGAUAGAAGGCAGGCUAGCUGAUUUUUUCUGCCUGCCCUGCCAUGAACUGUUUCUCCUCUGUGAUGCGCCUCUGCCAUGCCGCUCUGCCGUGGAGCCAGCCAGCUGUGGACUGAAGUCUCUACACACUGUGAGCCAAAAUAAACCUCUCCUCCUUGUCUUAAUUACUUUUCUCUCAUUGCUGAGACA